GGGGUUGUACUGGUUUCGACGGGGGUUUUGCAAUUGUGGAAGCCAUCUGCGGGCCGGGACCGCACAGUAAACCGGAAUUAAAUAUAAACGCAGACGAAAAUUUAGCGUUCGCAGCCUAAUGGCUGCUGUCGGCCUUGAGCUUCCUGCGGCUUAAGUAACCGGCAUCAAAACCUGCAGGGCACUUCGUUCUCAAAGCUUUGAGAGGAUGGAAGAUUUUAUGAAGCUACUGAAAUAGGAAGCCUGUCUUUCGGCGGUCUAUGGAGGGAAUGUCAAAAGAGAGACUGUGAUGGGAGAUGCCGCGAUGAAUAGGCUUUCGGACAGGGGUUCGAUUCCCCUCAGCUCCACUA
rnacentral:tmRNA from 1 species